ACAGUUGCUACAUUAGCACAGAGUUAGAAGUCAGUUAUAAGAUAGUAGUUAGAGGUUAUGAUACAGAGGGUGGCGAUUAGGGGUCAAGUACUCUGCAAGGGAUAACAAUGUCAGGCAAUAUAUAGGAGCCAACUAACUGCUAGGAGUAGUCUGAUAGGAGGCAACUCAAAGGAGGGAUUGAAUUUAGACUAAUGUAGAGCUGGGUAGAGUAAUAAUGAAGAAGAUUAGGGGGCCAAGCUUGUGGUCAGGAAAUUGACUGACUGAAGAAAGAGGACUCAGUUAUAUAACCCAAUGUUCCACUACUUAAUUGAACCUCCAAAAAUUUAGCACAGUAAGAAAGAAAAAGAAAGAGAGCCCGACUAAGAAGUAGGAGAGAUUGAAAAGCUCAACUCAUUUGAAAUCUUCGGAUCAACAAGGUAAGUUAAUUCUGGCCCUUUCCAAUCCUUUUCCAUUCCCUUGUUAAUAAGCAAAUAGGACUGUCUUGGCCGAAUGGCCUUGUGACCAUGUUAGUAUACUUUUGUAUUGAUUGUGAAUUUUCUAUAAUGAUUAUUAUGUGCAAGAUGGUGGUGUUUGCUAUACUUGUCAUUAUGCUUGACUUAUAGGAAGAUUAUUGUUGCUUUAAAGCCAUAAGGCUAGGACCAAGUGACUAAGAAUAUAGGUAUUAUAGGUGUGUAUAUAAACUGCACUCUACAUGUUUGAUAAUUUGCCAAGCUAAGGACUGAUUUAACAUCUGUGUAUACUAACUGUGAAUUUGAGGCCAACCUAAUGUCAAAUUGCUUACAUAGUGGGAGUAAUACUUCAAGUAUACUCUAUGCUUGACCUUAACAUGUUUUAAUAUAACUUGCAAUCUAAGGUAGUUUGAAACUUGAGCAAAGCAAGUAAAAAUGGACUGAGAUAGUAAGCUCCAUAUUGACUGUUAUUUGAAGCUUGACUUGUAAUGACUAUCACUUGUUUCUAGUAUGAUUAUUAUGCUAUAUAUGACUUGAUGUCUAUCACUCAAAACCACUAAUAGUUAUACUUGUGAAGCUUAAGCAUGAUAGAUUUCAAUAAACCAAAAUCAAUCCUUGUGACUGUUAUUAGAAGCUUUUCUUAUGAUAAUUAUGAUUUAUUUUUAGUAUGAUUAUUAUGUUAUAACUGGGGAUAAUUACAUCAAGCCUUAAAAGCUAAUAAUGAUGACUCUUUAAAGCCUCAUUUUAAGAAUGUUAAUGUCUAAGUUUAAAAGGUUUGGUUGUGAGCUGUCUAUGUAUGAGCUAAGAUAGGCCUUCCGGUUGAAAGACAUACCUACUAGAUAUUAUGUAAAUAGCCAAUUCUUGUUUACUUGUUGCUUAAUCAUGUUGCCUUGGUAACUAGAUUUUUCAACUCAUGCUUCUUUAUAUCAAUUUGAAGCCUGUGAGGGGCUGUUUUGAACUAAAGCUAGAAGCCUUGUAUGUAGGCUCUUUAAAUCAUGAACAUAUAUUAUAUAGCAUGUACAUGAUGUGAUAACCCUUGUGUUGAAAAACUUAAAGAUUGUUUUGGUGAAUUAGUGUUAAACUUUUCCUAAAAGGACUUGAAUGGGCUUGAUUGACUGUUAGAAUGAUCUUUGUUGCUAUAUUAACUGUUAUUGUAUUAAAUUGACUAGUAUGUUGUUGCUAUACUAUUAUGACUGAACUUAGGCACAAGGAGAUAAGAUGGGUUGAGGAGUAAUAAGGAGAACAAAAUAGGUUUGUGACAUAAAUAAAUGGCUGUGAAACUGGUAGCUUAAAACCAUGCCCACCAACUGUUUGAUAAAAGUUUUAAAAGAACUAUUUUGGUAAAAAGGAACUGAAUAUUAGAACAAGUAAGGCAUUGGCUUGAUUUACUUAGCAUAUGUGAUGAUUUAAGUAUUUUGGUAAGUUAAAUUGUAGCACAGUACAAUUUUAGGCUAAGUCUAGUAGUAAAAAUUAUAGCUUGACAAGUCCUUUGGCCCACUGUGAUGAGCAGUGGCUGAGCCAAAGAAUCAAGCUAAAUAUCAUUUUGAUAGGCCACUUGUGUAAAAUCCCAAAUUUUAUGAAUAAAGAUUUAAUUUUCUCGAAAUAUUUUUUUUCAAAAUUAUGGUGUGGAUUUGAGAUAAUGUUAUAGUUAUGGAUAAUAUUUAGAAAUUUUGAAAAGUAUGCAAGUUGUUAUAUAAUAUUCGAUUGGUCGGGGAAUAUUCUUUUUGUCAGGAAAUAUCCGUACGAUGGUACAAUCAUUGGUGAACCCCACAACGGAAUUAUUGUUGGAUUGAGAAAGCGACAAAAAUAUUUUUUAUGAAAAUAACGGCGGAAGUUUUACCGUUAAAACUGUUGAACUACUCGGUAGUAAAAGUACAGUAAUACGCAUGGUUGCAUAGUAGCACACGGUAUUGAUUAUUGAUGCUUACGUGAGAAGUCACUCAGUUUUGUUCAAUUAUUGCUACAGUAAUUGUUGCAUAGUAUCUCACGUUAUUUGAUUCAAUUAUUGUCGAUAUUUUAUAUAUUAUUAAAUCAAUAAUUGAGAUAACAAAGUUAUUAAUAUUAUUAUUUGCAAUAUUAACGAUGUCUAGAAGUUCUGCCAAGGAGAGGUUUGGUCACCUAAUUGCGCGCCAAUAGGGAGAAAUCCUUAUUGGAAAGCCCCCUCUUUCCUGAGAACGACCUGGUCGAUUAAUAGUGUGAAUUAUAAUAAUGAUGAUGAAUUUUGUUUUAUUAUUAUUAUAAAUGUAAUAAAACAGAAAACUUUUUAUAUAAAAAAGAAUACUUUUUAUAAAGUUUUGUUUUAUUUGAUUAUAAAUAGAAUAUAAUAUAUUUUAUUAUGCAUAGUGUUUGUAUAGUGCCUGCAUAGUGUUGGCAUAGUAAAAUCUUUUUAUAUAAAAUAGAAUACUUUUAUAAAGUUAUUUGUUUUAUUAGAUUAUAAAUAGAAUGUAUUAUAUUUUAUUAUGCAUAGUAUUUGCAUAGUACCUACAUAGUAAAUUUUUUUUAUAUAAAACAGAAUACUUUUAUAAAGUUAUUUGUUUUAUUAUAUUAUAAAUAGAAUGUAUUAUAUUUUAUUAUGCAUAGUACCUGCAUAGUAAAAAAAAUUUAUAUAAAAUAGAAUACUUUUAUAAAGUUAUAUUAUAUUAUAUUUUAUUACAUAGUAUCCUUUUCAUUCUCCUAUAAAUAAGAUGCUUAGUUAGAAUGGAAAAUCACACAAGAAAUUCAGAGAAUUUUUCUUCUAUAAUCUUAAGCGUAUUUCUUUAGAGUUUUAAGAAGCUUUGAGCGUAGAAAACAGUAUAAGUUUUCUUUAAGAAUAUCCUCGCCCUACCAGUCGAAAUACUCUUUUUUCUAAGAUAAGGGGUAUUAUUUCUUUCGUAUUCAUGAAGAGAAUUAUUUUCUUUCAAUACUCGUAAGGGGUAUUAUUUCUUUUGUAUUCAUGAAGAGAGCUUUUGUUUUUCCAUUCUUUUAUUAUUAUGUUGGAAUAACCUGUCUAUGCGAAGUACCGCAUACAUGGUGAAAUUCUUUUGUUAUUCCAUUCAUUAUUAUUCUGUUGGAAUAUCUUGUCUGUGCGUAUUACGCAUGACUUGGUUUCAUUAUUUAUUAUUUUGUUGAAAUAACCUGUCUAUGCGAAGUACCGCAUACAUGGUGAAUUUUUUUAUUCCAUUCUUUAUUAUUCUGUUGGAAUAUCCUGUCUGUACGGAUUACGCAUUACCUAGUUCCAUUCUUUAUUAUUCUGUUGGUAAUAACAUGUCUGUGCGGUCUAUCGCAUGCCUGGUGAAUUCUUCUGUUAUUCCAUUCUUUAUUAUUCUGUUCGAAUAACCUGUCUAUGUGGAUUACCGCAUGCACGGUGAAUGAUCCUUAAUUUGUAUUCAUUCCUUAUUAAAUUGUGAAAAUGAUCUGUCUACGUGGAUUCCGCAUGGCGGGCGAAAAUCCAUUUGCAGUUUCAUAUAUUCUAUUAUACUCAGUUGGUUAAAGUUUUGGCUUCUAUACUCCAUGAAAUUAGUAGAAUAUCCUGGAUAUUUGUGCUUCAUCCAGUAUCUUUUCAUGAAAAUAUUCUUCUGAGAAUUCUUGAAUUUACUCCACAAAGCAGUAUCAUGUUGACAAUUUGGACAUUAUUGAGUUCAGGAUAAACUAACUUAUAAAUCUUUAAAAUUUAUUCUUGAACUUGUUUUAUUGAAUUAUUAUGUCAUUGUCAUCAUCCUCAUGCUUAUAUUGUGAUGAAAGUCAUCUUUGGCUUACGUGCAUAGAUGGACUUGGUAUGAUUAUGUCCAGGGAUCAUUCGGUAUAAUCAUGAUCUGUAAUGUUAUAAAUGUUGUGAUAAAAGUCCUCAGUGGCCCGUAGUGCAUUGAUGGACAGUUUUUGGUAUUAUGACCAGGGAUUAUUCGGUAUAGUCAUGACCAUUGAUGAUUUAAUGAAUAUCUUUGGCUUGUAGUGCAGGGAUGACUCGAUGAUAUGUUUUAUUUAUUAAGCUGAGUCUCAGCGAUAAAAAUUGAUAAAAACAUUUUAAAUCAUAGAAGAUAGUAGAUAUCAUGCUCUACUUGACUCUUCUAAUGGAUUGCUUAUUCUGCUGCAGUUAAACUUGAUGUCUAUUGUAUUUUAUCAAUUUAACAUUGUUGGAGACUAAUGAUAAUUUAUUCUGCAUUAUCUUAGUCAUAAUAUUUUUUACUGGUCUAGUUGAGCUCAUCAUUUUGCUUUCAUUGUUCUCUUCAGGAAAUGAGAACGUAGCCGGGACUAGUCGGGGAACGGAGUGACGGUCCAGAUGAUAGCAUUAGUAGUCCUCACUAUUCUGUUAAAUAGUGUGACAAUAAAUGUAAUGAGGACUCCAUUGAGUGUGGAUAUUGUCUAGAUGACAAUAUUCUUAUUAAAACUCUUAGAUUAUGUUUUGUCGUAUUUUACACGACUGUUGUAUAAUUAAGUUGUAUUUGAAUUUUGUACCAUGUAUUUGGCGACUCAAGAUGGGUGAUGUAUACCUAUUUUGGGGGCGUCACAGUUGGUAUCAAAGCUUAGGGAUAUGAUCCCUGGCUGAGAUGUGAGACAAGAACUAGGAGGGGAGAGACGGGAAAUUCCUUCGCUAGUAUGACCUACCUAAGUUUAUUUGGUAUUUAAUUUGUCGGUCAGAGUAUAGGGAUAAUAUGUGAUAUGAUAAUUAACCCUUGUUUUGUGACGGUAUUUGAAAAUGGCAUCCGAAAAUGUUGAGAUAAGCAAUGAAGCACAUGAGACCGUUGAGUCACCACAUAUUAAUACCCAGGAUAAUGUGCAACAGGAAGACAAUAAUCCUCAGGUAAACAACAACGAUCAAAUGAUGAACGAUGGGAUGUUUAGAGGUUUUAUGCAAUUCAUGCAACAUCAGGCGAAGGCGGCUCCUGUCCAAAAUACAGGUGGAAACACUGAUAACUCUCGGACGGUCACCACUAAGCAGUUCAAGGAGCUGGGACCAUCGGAGUUUUUUGGAGAGCCAAAACCACUUAAGGUGGAGACGUGGAUAAAGCAGAUCAACAAGAUAUUUGAUGUCUUGGGAUGCUCCGAGGAGCAAAAGGUUCCUUUUGCCACCUUCAUGUUGUGAGCAGAGGCAGAUUACUGGUGGGAAUCUGUAAAGCGUACUCAACCUGUCACACUGAAGAUGACUUGAGAUAAGUUUCAAAAAUUAUUCAACGACAAGUACUUUUCCGAAAGUAUUCGUCACAUGAUAGAGGUAGAGUUCAUCAAGCUAGAGCAAAAUAACAUGACCGUGUCACAGUACGAAGCCAAGUUUGCCGAGUUGUCCCGGUUUGUGUCCAUUUGGUUGAUAAUGAGGAGAGAAUGAUGCGAAUGUUUCUAAGAGGUUUGAAACCCGAGAUACGUCAAUAUCUUAUCUCUCAUAAACUGUGUUUGUAUUCAGAUGUUGUUAAUAGGGCUCAGUUAUUGGAGCGCGAUAAUGAGUCAACCUAACCAAAAGAGAGCAGCCGGCAAAAUGAUAAUACCAGUGAUAGCAGUCAUCGAAGCGGUGACAAUAAGCAUGGAGGGAAUCAACAUGCCAGAAAUAGUAAUCACUUUGGUGGUAAUCAUGGCCAAAAUAAUAAGAAUGGACAUUUCAAGAAGAGGAGAUUCAACAAUGAUGGAAAGACAUCAGCAUUAGCACCUGUUGUUAAGGAAGGGGAACGACCGCCGGUCGUAUGUUAUAAAUGUAGAGGGGAAGGACACAUUAGUCCAAACUGUACGCAGCAGUUCAAAGCGUGUUUCAAUUGUGGAAGAGAAGGUCACCUAUCCCGAUUUUGUCGUGCACCGAAAUCAAGUCCAGCUGGGACGGUGGCACCAAAGGCGGAUACAGACAAAACAAAGUCGGUGCUUUCAGGUAGAGCGUUUUUCGUGACUUCUCAAAAAGCGAGUAACCCAAACGAAGUUAGCAUGGGUUAGUUAAUUAUAAAUUUUUGCGAAGUCUAUAUCUUAUUAGAUACCGGUUCUACCCAUUUUUUAUCUCUCUUGCUUGCGCUCAACGUUUAAAUUUGACCCCAGAGAAAUUAGACUUUGACUUAUUGGUUAAAACUCGAUUAGGAGAAACCUUCGUUACCUCCACUUUUUAUAAAUCUUGCUGAUUCAAAUCGACACUUUCACGUUACUUAUCGAUCUUAUCUCUUUGAAAAUACUUGCCUUUGAUGUAAUUUUAGGAAUCGAUUGGUUAACUACUCAUCAUGCUUUUCGUAAAGUUGUUAGCUUUCAUAUUCCUAACCAACCUGUUAUGCGAAUUCAAGCAACCAAACCACUAAAGUUAAUCACUGUUAUAUCAAGCCAUAAGUAAAGAGCCCCGAUCCUUUCGUUGUUGACUUCCUUGUGUGUAAUGCACCGAAGCCAGACUUUCUGUAGGCGACGUCAUGAAUGACGAUGGCAAGUUGAUAGGUAUCGAUGUGACGUAUUAUCCAAGUCUUGGAUGAGAGUCACAGUUUUGAAUGAUAUUUCUAUUGUUAAUAAAUUUUCUGACGUAUUCUUGAAGAUUUCUUAGCCUACCCCUAGAGCGUGAAAUCGAAUUUUGUAUUAACCCCAGUACAAAACCCAUUUCUAAAACCCUUAAAUAUUUCUUCAACCAAAACGAACGUAUAAUGCGCCAAAGACGUUGGCUUGAGCUGUUGAAGAUUACGACUAUACCAUUCAAUAUCAUUAUAGAAGAGCGAACGUGGUAGCUAACGCGUUGAGUAGAAGAUCGUAUGCGUUUACAAGUGCGAUGUUGUUAACACAAAAACCCAUUUUGUAUAACUUACAAAUGAUGAAGAUAGAGUUAAAGACUCUAGAGACCCACGUGAAGAUAGCGAAUAUACGAGUAGAAUCGACUUUAAUCGAUAAAGUUAAAGUCGCUCAAGCUACAUACUCAGAGCUGAUGAAUGUGAAGAAGAAGGUUCAAGAGGGCGUUAUUCUAGAANNNNNNNNNNNNNNNNNNNNNNNNNNNNNNNNNNNNNNNNNNNNNNNNNNNNNNNNNNNNNNNNNNNNNNNNNNNNNNNNNNNNNNNNNNNNNNNNNNNNNNNNNNNNNNNNNNNNNNNNNNNNNNNNNNNNNNNNNNNNNNNNNNNNNNNNNNNNNNNNNNNNNNNNNNNNNNNNNNNNNNNNNNNNNNNNNNNNNNNNNNNNNNNNNNNNNNNNNNNNNNNNNNNNNNNNNNNNNNNNNNNNNNNNNNNNNNNNNNNNNNNNNNNNNNNNNNNNNNNNNNNNNNNNNNNNNNNNNNNNNNNNNNNNNNNNNNNNNNNNNNNNNNNNNNNNNNNNNNNNNNNNNNNNNNNNNNGGGUAUUAUUUCUUUCGUAUUCAUGAAGAGAGCUUCUGUUUUUCCAUUCUUUAUUAUUAUAUUGGAAUAACCUGUCUAUGCGAAGUACCGCGUACAUGGUGAAAUUCUUCUAUUAUUCCAUUCUUUAUUAUUCUGUUGGAAUAUCAUGUCUGUGCGUAUUAUACAUGACCUGGUUCCAUUAUUUAUUAUUCUGUUGGAAUAACCUAUCUAUGUGAAGUACCGUAUACAUGGUGAAUUCUGUUGUUAUUUCAUUCUUUAUUGUUCUGUUGGAAUAUCUUGUCUGUGCGUAUUACACAUGACCUGGUUCCAUUAUUUAUUAUUCUGUUGGAAUAACCUGUCUAUGCGAAGUACCGCAUACAUGGUGAAUUCUGUUGUUAUUCCAUUCUUUAUUAUUCUGUUAGAAUAUCCUGUCUGUGCGGAUUACGCAUGACCUGAUUCCAUUCUUUAUUAUUCUGUUGGGAAUAACCUGUCUGUGCGGUCUAUCGCAUGCCUGGUAAAUUCUUCUGUUAUUUCAUUCCUUAUUAUUUUGUUGGAAUAACCUGUCUAUGUGGAUUACUGCAUGCAUGGUGAAUGAUCCUUUGUAUUCAUUCCUUAUUAAAUUGUGAAAAUGAUCUGUCUACGUGGAUUACCGCAUGGCGGGCGAAAAUCCAUUUGCAGUUUCAUAUAUUCUAUUAUACUCAGUUGGUUAAAGUUUUGGCUUCUAUACUCCAUGAAAUUAGUAGAAUAUCCUGGAUAUUUGCGCUUCAUCCAGUAUCUUUUCAUGGAAAUAUUCUUCUGAGCAUUCUUGAAUUUUACUCCACAAAGCAGUAUCAUGUUGACAAUUUGGACGUAAUUGAUUUCAGGAUAAAUUAACUUAUAAAUCUUUAAAAUUUAUUCUUGAACUUGUUUUAUUGAAUUAUUAUGUCAUUGUCAUCAUCCUCAUGCUUAUAUUGUGAUGAAAGUCAUCUUUGGCUUACGUGCAUAGAUGGACUUGGUAUGAUUAUGACCAGGGAUUAUUCGGUAUAAUCAUGACCUGUAAUGUUAUAAAUGAUGUGGUAAAAGUCCUCAGUGGCCUGUAGUGCAUUGAUGGACAGUUUUUGGUAUGAUUAUGACCAGGGAUUAUUCGGUAUAGUCAUGACCAUUGAUGAUUUAAUGAAUAUCCUUGGCCCGUAGUGCAGGGAUGACUCGAUGAUGUGGUUUAUUUAUUAAGCUGAGUCUCAGCGAUAAAAAUUGAUGAAAACAUUUUAAAUCAUAGAAGAUAGUAGAUAUCAUGCUCUACUUGACUCUUCUAAUGGAUUGCUUAUUCCGCUGCAGUUAAACUUGAUGUCUAUUGUAUUUUAUCAGUUUAACAUUGUUGAAGACUAAUGAUAAUUUAUUCUGCAUUAUUUUAGUCAUAAUAUUUUUUACUGGGCUAGUUGAGCUCACCCUUUUGCUUUCAUUAUUCUCUUCAGGAAAUGAGAACGUCGCCGAGACUAGUCGGGGAACGGAGUGAUGGUCCGAGAUGGUGUAUUAGUAGUCCUCGCUAUUCUAUAAAAUAGGGUGACAAUAAAUGUAAUGAGGACUCUAUUUGAGAGUGGAUAUUGUCUAGAAGGCAACAUUCCUGUU
rnacentral:lncRNA from 1 species